rnacentral:tRNA from 1 species
GCCCCUAUAGCUCAACGGAUAGAGCGCGCCCCUUCUAAGGGUGAAAUGAAAGUUCGAUUCUUUCUGGGGGCA